GUGGGGAAUAUUGGACAAUGGGCGAAAGCCUGAUCCAGCAAUGCCGCGUGAGUGAUGAAGGCCUUAGGGUUGUAAAGCUCUUUUACCCGGGAUGAUAAUGACAGUACCGGGAGAAUAAGCUCCGGCUAACUCCGUGCCAGCAGCCGCGGUAAUACGGAGGGAGCUAGCGUUGUUCGGAAUUACUGGGCGUAAAGCGCACGUAGGCGGCUAUUCAAGUCGGGGGUGAAAGCCCGGGGCUCAACCCCGGAAUUGCCCUCGAAACUAGAUAGCUAGAAUCUUGGAGAGGCGAGUGGAAUUCCGAGUGUAGAGGUGAAAUUCGUAGAUAUUCGGAAGAACACCAGUGGCGAAGGCGACUCGCUGGACAAGUAUUGACGCUGAGGUGCGAAAGCGUGGGGAGCAAACAGGAUUAGAAACCCUGGUAGUCC
rnacentral:rRNA from 1 species